rnacentral:rRNA from 1 species
GCUAGGGGGCCAUCCCGGCUUACCAACCCGAUGCAAACUGCGAAUACCGGAGAAUGUUAUCACGGGAGACACACGGCGGGUGCUAACGUCCGUCGUGAAGAGGGAAACAACCCAGACCGCCAGCUAAGGUCCCAAAGUCAUGGUUAAGUGGGAAACGAUGUGGGAAGGCCCAGACAGCCAGGAUGUUGGCUUAGAAGCAGCCAUCAUUUAAAGAAAGCGUAAUAGCUCACUGGUCGAGUCGGCCUGCGCGGAAGAUGUAACGGGGCUAAACCAUGCACCGAAGCUGCGGCAGCGAACGUAUCACUUAAAGCGAUUCAGCGGGUUAC